rnacentral:rRNA from 1 species
UGAAUUGACGGGGAGCACUACAACGGGUGGAGCCUGCGGUUUAAUUGGACUCAACGCCGGAAAACUCACCGGGGCGACAGCAAUAUGUAGGUCAAGCUAAAGACUUUACCAGAAUCGCUGAGAGGAGGUGCAUGGCCGUCGUCAGUUCGUACUGUGAAGCAUCCUGUUAAGUCAGGCAACGAGCGAGACCCGUGCCCACUGUUGCCAGCAUGUCCUUCGGGAUGAUGGGUACUCUGUGGGGACCGCCGAUGCUAAAUCGGAGGAAGGUGCGGGCUACGGUAGGUCAGUAUGCCCCGAAUCUCCCGGGCUACACGCGGGCUACAAUGACUGGGACAAUGGGCUCCUACCCCAAAAGGGGAUGGUAAUCUCAUAAACCCAGCCUUAGUUCGGAUCGAGGGCUGUAACCCGCCCUCGUGAAGCUGGAAUCCGCAGUAAUCGCGUUUCAACAUAGCGCGGUGAAUACGUCCCUGCUCCUU